GACGAACGCUGGCGGCGUGCUUAACACAUGCAAGUCGAACGAAGUGGCGAACGGGUGAGUAACGCGUAAUCAACCUGCCCUUCAGGGGGGGAUAACAGUUGGAAACGACUGCUAAUACCGCAUACUGUAGGAGGGGAGUGCGUCUGAUUAGCUAGUUGGAGGGGUAACGGCCGACCAAGGCGAUGAUCAGUAGCCGGGCUGAGAGGAUGAACGGCCAAAAGGGGACUGAUACACGGCCCAGACUCCUACGGGAGGCAGCAGUGGGGAAUCUGCCGCAAUGGACGAAAGUCUGAAGGAGCAACGCCGCGUGAGUGAUGACGGCCUUCGGGUUGUAAAGCUCUGUUAAUCGGGACGCGGUACCGGAAUAGAAAGCCACGGCUAACUCCGUGCCAGCAGCCGCGGUAAUUC
rnacentral:rRNA from 1 species